AACUAGGUUCCAAAAAGAGGAGUUAGAGAAAGAACUGAAGUAGUUGACGGGGUUUGCCACCCCAUAAGAAGAACAAUAUCAACCACCAUCCUCCAUCCUGCCCUCCAUCUUCCAUGGACUAAACAACCAUCCCAAGAAUACACAGGAUGAGCCUAUGGCUCCAUCUGCAUAUGAAGCAGAAGAUAUCCUUUUCAGGCACCAAUGGGAGCAAAUGCCCUUGGUCCUGUCAAGGCUUCAUGCCCCAGUGUGGGGAACUGUCAGAAUGGGCAGGUUGGAAGGAGUGAGUGGGUGAGUGAGGAACUGCCCUCAUAGAACAGGAGGCAUGAGGGGAAAUAGUAGCUGGUUUCUAGAGGGCAAAUCAGGAAAAUCAUAUUUAAAAUGUGAAUUAAAAAAAAUCCCCUCCCCCAAUGAAAGGAAAAGAAAGAGAAAGAGAGAAAGAAAAAGAAAAAUAAAUGGGGGUACAUAACUAAACAGAAGCAGACUGGCGAUGUGGCAGCGUUAUUCCCAUGAUAGUCAAGCAGCUUCCGGGAAACCAAAGUCUUUGGGUUCCAGGGGAGUAUGGUUGCAAAGAUGAAACUUAACGGAAUUGACGGAAGGGCACCACCAGGAGUGGAGCCUGUAGAUUAAUUUGACUCAACAUGGGAAACCUCACCUGGCCAGGAUACAGACAGGAUUGACAGAUUGAUAGCUCUUUCUCGAUUCUGUGGAUGGUGGUGCAUGGCCGUUCUUAUUUGGUGGAGCGAUAUAUCUGGUUAAUUCUGAUAACGAACGAGACGCUGGUAUGCUAACUAGUUACGCGCCCCCCGAGCGGUCUGUGUCCCCCAACUUCUUAGAGGGACAAGUGGCGUUCAGCCACCCAUGAUGGAGCAAUAACAGGUCUGGGAUGCCCUUACAUGUCCAGGGCUGCACGCGUGCUACACUGACUUACACAGGUGGCGCGGGUAACCCUAUUGAACCUCAUUCGUGAUGGAGAUCAGGGAUUGCAAUUAUUCCCCAGGAACGAGGAAUUCCCAGUAAGUGCGGGUCAGAAGCUUGCGCUGAUUAAGUCCCUGUCCUUUGUACACACUGGCCCUUCGCUACUACCCAGUGGAUGGUUUAGUGAGGCCCUUGCAUUGGCCCCGCCGGGGUCGGCCCACGGCCCUGGUGGAGCGCGUCGAACUUGACUAUCUAGAGGAAGUAAAAGUCGUAAUGAGGUUUCUGUGAACCGGCGGAAG
rnacentral:rRNA from 1 species